rnacentral:rRNA from 1 species
AACGAAGCACUUUAACCUGAUUCUUCGGAUGAAGGUUUUUGUGACUGAGUGGCGGACGGGUGAGUAACGCGUGGGUAACCUGCCUCAUACAGGGGGAUAACAGUUAGAAAUGACUGCUAAUACCGCAUAAGACCACGGAGCCGCAUGGCUCAGUGGGAAAAACUCCGGUGGUAUGAGAUGGACCCGCGUCUGAUUAGGUAGUUGGUGGGGUAACGGCCUACCAAGCCAACGAUCAGUAGCCGACCUGAGAGGGUGACCGGCCACAUUGGGACUGAGACACGGCCCAAACUCCUACGGGAGGCAGCAGUGGGGAAUAUUGCACAAUGGGGGAAACCCUGAUGCAGCGACGCCGCGUGAGCGAAGAAGUAUUUCGGUAUGUAAAGCUCUAUCAGCAGGGAAGAAAAUGACGGUACCUGACUAAGAAGCACCGGCUAAAUACGUGCCAGCAGCCGCGGUAAUACGUAUGGUGCAAGCGUUAUCCGGAUUUACUGGGUGUAAAGGGAGCGUAGACGGCUGUGUAAGUCUGAAGUGAAAGCCCGGGGCUCAACCCCGGGACUGCUUUGGAAACUAUGCAGCUAGAGUGUCGGAGAGGUAAGUGGAAUUCCCAGUGUAGCGGUGAAAUGCGUAGAUAUUGGGAGGAACACCAGUGGCGAAGGCGGCUUACUGGACGAUGACUGGACGUUGAGGCUCGAAAGCGUGGGGAGCAAAC